GCCAGCGUGGCGUAGUGGUUUGAGCAUUGGGCUGAGGCUCUGGAGAUCAGGGUUGGAUUCCUCGCUGGGC